CUUAACACCUGUUCCUUCUUUCACUGGUCACAACAGGAAUGGUGCUUUAAAAUCACAGAAAAGGCCAGCAGGACCCUCACUGUAGAAGAAAGGAGAAGUUAGAGAGUGGGAAGGGUCGUGCUGAGAUGUGUGUCAGAGAGAAUUAAAAGCUAUAAAAUGGAUAAAAUUAGAAACUAGUUGCCUUGUUCCUUUCUUAUUUGUGUGGAAGUCAUCUAUUUUGUAGAAAUCCUGCUUAGUCCAGAAAUAAUCAAAAUUGCUGAUAAAGUUAUAUCCUGCUGCUGAACAGAAAUUUUGCAGCCACUGGUGGAGGCUAAAAAGAUGACUAAAAUGUUCAACACCCUUUGAAAGAGUGGGUAUGGGGCCAGACAUUUACAUAGCUUUUUCCCAGACUCUCGAUUGUGCUGCAUAGUCAUUCAAUGUCCUGGUGCAGCUUGGCUGAUCAUCUAGGCAUGAUGUCUUUAGUUCCGGCAUACACUAUCACAGUAUGGACUGAAGGGUGAAGUUUGAUGAGUGUUGGAAUAAGUUCAAUAAAAUCCUCAACCUUUCCGGUUUCCACUCACAGCACAGCACUGAAACAGCCGUCUUCAAAGUCACAAACGGCUUCCUCCUCUCCUCAGACUCUGGUCACCUCAGUAUUCUCAUCCUCCUCAACCCCACUGCAGCUUUCGACACCAUCUGGCUAGUGACUGUACUAUCUAGCCACUUUCAAGAUGAACUUUUAAUAAAAAAAAUGGAGUUAAUCAGCAAAGGAAGACCGUCACUAGAGCUUAAUUUGGUGCAGAAAACCAAGGAUUCUUCUCAACUCCAGGACUUCCUUUUCAAGUUACUUAAUACAAUCAUCAAAGGGAGGUGGUGGCUGUCAUUUUGCACCCCAGCCCGUUGUCACCAUAUUCCACUGAGGUACACACACAUCUUAUGUGAGGAUUUGGAGUUGAGAUCCGGUAACAGUGAAGGCCAAACGCCUGGCCAGGGAGACGGACGUGCUGACGUGCUACGAGGAAGGGGGGUGAGAGAGCCAAGGUUUAAGAGUCACAGUUCAUUACUGAGGCCAACAAUGCUUAUGCUGCUCAGGACAGAUUACAAACCCAUUUAAACUCAGACUUGGUAUGUUGUGUUGUGGCAUUUUGUUUAAAUUAAUCAGCUUUUGCUUCUGCAAAAUUCUGUUUUUUGUUCAUUAAUUUUGUAUUAGAAAAUGCUUGUGCUACGCUGUGAUGCACUCUGAUGCAGACCGCUAGCGAACCCUUUGUCUGUUAAGACUGUGUAAUUAAUAAGUUUGUGAUUCACUUUUGUAUCAAAGCACGGGUUGUUAAGCAUUGUCUUCAUAUGAGCGGUUCUCCUAUCACAUAGUGGUAUUGGCAUUUUUACUCUGUAAAAGUAUACAUUUCCAAACAUGCUUACAGUCUGGCCCCCCUCUGAAAACUGAAUGCCCCCCUGUUCAAUUUGUUCUGGCUAGGGGGCUGCAAAGGUGUUGCCCAACACCAAGAUUUCAGGCACAGAGCUACCCCCAUCCGUGUAAGCCGCAAGAUUGAAAGGGAGCUGGCAGGUGACAGCAGUAGCCAACCUCUGAGGCAGGGAGCAGUGGCACUUGACUUCAACUGAGAACAGCUGAGGUGGCCAAGCAGUCUUGGAGCAGUGACUGCCACUGGAGGAGAUAAUUUAUGAGACUUUUAAUGAAGGAGAGUUCAGGCUUAAUAUUGGAGAUUUCAUCUGCUAUGGCCAUUGUUGAGGGGGUGAGGUUUACACUCCAGUCUGCCACAGUUGCCUGCCAUGACCAGCUUCGUCCUUGUCACCCAUCUCUCAUCUGGGUCCUUAACUCACUGCCUGCCCAGCUCUGCUGCAAACCUCAUUCCUCAACCUGCUUAAACUAUACAGAGCUGCUCCUAUAUUGGAAUCUGAUGAUAUUGAACCAAACUGUUUUGCAAUAAAUUCUUUUCUAAACUGCUUC